UGGUGCCCCAAUGUGGGACUUGAGAACGGGAGGACUUAGUGAGGGCCGCGGAUCAUGGGCCCAAAGUAGAAAAAGGAAAAGAAAAUAGAGGACUGACGUGGGAGCCUGCCACACCGCUGAACUCGUGAUUAUGUGAACAGUGAUUAUGGGACAAGAAAUUAGCCAGCAUGAGAUUUUUGUUGAAAAUUUAGUAAAAUUUUUAAAGACACAAGGAGCUAAGGUGAAUAUUGAACAAUUAUGCCAAUACUUCAAUUUUAUAAAAGAGGUUUGCCCUU
rfam:Cavia porcellus supercont2_122 genomic scaffold, whole genome shotgun sequence.